rnacentral:rRNA from 1 species
UACGAAGGGGACUAGCGUUGUUCGGAAUUACUGGGCGUAAAGCGUGCGUAGGCGGUUUGUUAAGUCUGAUGUGAAAGCCCUGGGCUCAACCUGGGAAUGGCAUUGGAUACUGGCAACCUAGAAUGUGGUAGAGGGUGGCGGAAUUCCCGGUGUAGCAGUGAAAUGCGUAGAUAUCGGGAGGAACAUCCGUGGCGAAGGCGGCCACCUGGACCAACAUUGACGCUGAGGCACGAAAGCGUGGGGAGCAAACAGG